GGUAACUAUAAUAUAAAUAUGUGACCUUGGGAAGGUCACAACAAAAAAGGGGACAAUUGUGGAAAGGAAACAAGACUGACAGUUUGUGGGGGAAGGGCCAACUGGGAGUGGCAGUUGGGUGUUGUGACUAGCACUUCCUUCCUGCCGGGAGGGACUUGCUUCUGGGUUUUGGAGGAGAGAGGAAGGUGGUCAGCCCAGUCUGGAGUGGCAUGCUCUUCUUGGUUCUGCUGGAAGACACAGGCCCCUGAAGGAGAAGAGAACAAAAGAGCCAUUAUACAGUGCUAAGGAGCACAAGGUCAAAAAGAACCAAACCAAUCCAGGUAGGAUUGAUGGACUUCUAAGCCAAUUUGAAAGAACUUGUACCUAGUGUGAGACUCGAGGUUGCAGUGCUUGCCAUAUGUUAAGAUACAGGAUGCCUUGUAUCCACACUCUUUGUGAAUACUCACAGACAAGUGCCAAAGUUUGGCUAUCAUCCUGGCUCCCCCUAUCCCUGACAGUGAAGGUAAAAUAAGACCAGGGAACGACACUUCCCUAUCACACAAAAAUCUAGUUUUUUUUUUUUUUUCUUGUAUGGCAACUUCCUAUAAUCUUGGCUGCACGUGGG
rnacentral:lncRNA from 1 species